UACGGAGGUCUCAAGCGUUGUUCGGAUUCAUUGGGCGUAAAGGGUGCGUAGGUGGCGCGGCAAGUCAGGUGUGAAAUCCCGGGGCUCAACCCCGGAACUGCAUUUGAAACUGCCUUGCUCGAGUACUGGAGAGGAGACUGGAAUUUACGGUGUAGCAGUGAAAUGCGUAGAUAUCGUAAGGAAGACCAGUGGCGAAGGCGAGUCUCUGGACAGGUACUGACACUGAGGCGCGAAGGCCAGGGGAGCAAACGGG
rnacentral:rRNA from 1 species